UAAGAAGAUUGGAACAAAGUGCUGGCAGAAAAAUAAAUCUUCAAGUCCAUUGCAUCAAGUAUUAGAUGAGCAAAAUAGGUAUAACAUUAUAAUAAUUUAUUAACCAUUUCUUACUAAUUAAAAAGAUUUACAGUAUCAAGUAAUUAAUGAUUAUACAAAACUACUAAAUUAUUACGUGGAGAAAUGGUACUUUCAGUGCACUGUAUGGUAGACACCCUGAUUAGGUUGGUAGGAAACAAGGUUUAGCAAAUUGCAGCCGCAAGGAUGUAUACCCUCAACCGUUGCAACCAAAAGCCAGGCUGAGUAGGGGUUUCUUCCCCGUAACAAGUAGCUAAUGAGUAAUGCUUUUUGUCUGCAUUUGAGACUCCCCCCUCUCCUUGGAUGCUUUUUCUUUUUUCUCUCUCUCUAAACCCAAAUGAAGAAAAGUAAUGGGUCUAGAGGGAUGCGUCUAAUCUCGCUCGAGCAUAAAGGAGAAAAGGGAUAUGUAACAAAGAAAGAU